rnacentral:rRNA from 1 species
AUUGAACUGAAGAGUUUGAUCCUGGCUCAGAUUGAACGCUGGCGGCAUGCCUUACACAUGCAAGUCGAACGGCAGCACGGGUGCUUGCACCUGGUGGCGAGUGGCGAACGGGUGAGUAAUACAUCGGAACAUGUCCUGUAGUGGGGGAKAGCCCGGCGAAAGCC